CAAAGGCUUGGUCCUGACUUUAUUAUCAAUUCUAGCUAGACUUACACAUGCAAGCAUCCGCACACCCGUGAGAAUGCCCUGUAGUUCCCUGCUUGGGAACAAGGAGCUGGUAUCAGGCACAAAAAUUAGCCCAUGACGCCUUGCUUAGCCACACCCUCAAGGGAAUUCAGCAGUGAUAAACAUUAAGCCAUGAGUGAAAACUUGACUUAGUCAAAGCUAAGAGGGCCGGUAAAUCUCGUGCCAGCCACCGCGGUUAUACGAGGGACCCAAGUUGAUAAACACCGGCGUAAAGAGUGGUUAGGAUAAACAUUAAACUAAAGCCGAACAUCUUCAAAGCUGUUAUACGCACACGAAGAACAGAAACUCAACCACGAAAGUGGCUUUACCCUACCUGACCCCACGAGAGCUAUGCCACAAACUGGGAUUAGAUACCCCACUAUGCCUAGCCGUAAACAUCGAUAGUGCAUUACGUUAACUAUCCGCCCGGGUACUACGAGCAUGAGCUUAAAACCCAAAGGACUUGGCGGUGCUUUAGAUCCACCUAGAGGAGCCUGUUCUAGAACCGAUAAUCCCCGUUAAACCUCACCUUUUCUUGUUUUCCCCGCCUAUAUACCGCCGUCGUCAGCUUACCCUGCGAAGGGCCCACAGUAAGCAAAAUUGGCACAGCCCAAAACGCCAGGUCGAGGUGUAGCGUAUGAAAAGGGAAGAAAUGGGCUACAUUCAAUAUUACAAUGAAUACGAAUGGCGGGCUGAAACACCCGCCUGAAGGAGGAUUUAGCAGUAAGCAGGAAAUAGAGUGUCCCGCUGAAAUUGGCCC
rnacentral:rRNA from 1 species